rnacentral:tRNA from 1 species
GCUGUGGCUUAGGGGUUGAGCAUCUGCUUUGCGUGCAGAAGGUGCCAGGUUCGAUCCCCAGCACCUGCA